UGGUAGCUUGCUAACUUUUAAUGACAGACUGCCAUUGAGUAACUUGUUAGCCAAAUAUACACUCUAAACCAACCAUUAAAUAAGUUUAUUACACACAGCAACCUGUUAAAAAGGAAUCUUACCUUAGCUAAACCGAACAGCUUGACUCCAGUGUCCCGCCAGUGAAACGAUAGAUCUUGGCCAAGAACCAGACGCAUGUUCACUUUGAACUGCAGACUUAUCAUUUUGGGAAUCAACGAACACAAGAUGGCAGCAGGAGAUAACAUCAUGGUGAGCUGUGAGGGCGUCAUUUCCAAAUGGCACAAAUCAGACAGACCUCGAUGGUAACGGAGCUCCCAGUGACCCGGACUCCAAACCAACCAUCCCAGAACUUGGUGUCUUGUCCUCCAUGUUCAAAGGUGAUGAAACGCAGUCCAGGGCCAUAAUCAGAAAAUGUAUGUUUGAUCUGGAGUUGAGACAAAAUAAA